UGUCUGUGAGCCACUGUACGUAGAUGAAUACCAGAAUAUUAGAUGUGAGAAUGCAAAGAGUGUGGACAGACCACAGAGAAGGAAAAAUGCCUGUAACCUCGUGACACCACCAAGAGACUGGUGCCAGCAUGAGAUUUCUUCUCAGUGGAUCUCAGUCCUACCAUCACUCUAGAGAGAUCAGGCGAUGGGAUGGAAAAGUACUGUUCUGAAUUCCUUGAUGUUCAAGAAUUGUGAUAACCAUGGAAAUGUUUUCGCUACCCAGAGUCUCCAGUUCCACAUUACUGGAAAGGCCAGCUCAGGCCACCCCUACCAGGAAGCUCAACAUCCACUUCCCAGGACUUACUGCACAUUCGCCAAGUCCACCUCCUUCGUCCUUCAUUCCUCUCAGAUGGAAGGUCAGCAUCCUUCCUCCCCUCUCUGGUCUCUCUCCCAUCCACAUUGACUCUCUGAAAAAGUCUGCAGAGUCGGGCAAACAAGGCCAUCACUGCAAUGUCCAGCCUCUGACUGAGAAAUCUCAGUGGGUUUGUUGUCACUACAACACUGGUGACAUCACGGAGGUUGCUAAGAACUCUCCAGGAGACAAUAGAACGUCCAAGAAGGGACUGCUGAUGUCAUGGACUACAUACAGCCUUUGGUUCCCUGCUAAUGUUUCCCUGUACUGAUAGGAAACUGAGCUGCCCUUUCCUGGGGCAUAGCCAUUGAGCACAUCCUCCUUCCAAAGCCAGGGUUUGCUCUAGGCUUGAUUGGCAACACCUAAGUAAUUCCUAUGUAUCUAACUGAGUGUUUCCUUUCCAAACCCUUCUCAGAAAUAUCUCAUCCUACCUUAAAUUUUCCUCAAUCAGCAGUAGGAGCCAUUAAAACCUACUGAGAAAUCAUACCAGUUCGAAUAUGCAGCCAAAAUCUACUCCUGUCUCAUCAUGUACAGGUGCAUGAAAUCUCAUCCAGGCUGAACCUGCAGGGCUGGGUGUAGUGUGGGUGUGUGUUAGGGGCCACACUCAUGAAGCCUUGUGCUUAGCAUUUGAAAUUUGCCCCAAGAUCCCUUAGGAGGGAGACAUGCAGUCAUCAUGCAGUCAUCACUCAGUCAUUAUGCUUCUGACAACAGUCUAGAGAUCUGUUGGCAGAGGAAACUGAAAUAUUGGAGCCACCAAUGAGUGGCCCUCAGAUUGUGUGUGGGUUUUUCUCACUGCACCAAACUCACCAAUCAGUAUUGCUUAUAGCCCUCUGUGUGCUAGACCAUGAGAUUUUGUUUGUAAUAAAUAAUAUAUUCAACAGAGUUGCAGAUGUGCAGGUAGAAAGUGUAGUCUAAUACUAUAGACAGGUUAGUUGACAGAGCAAGGGUCUAGCAUCUUGUAUUUGGGUUCAUGUUUGGAUCCACAAACCACACAAAACCCAAUCCUAGUCAAACAUCAAUGAUUCAUUAAAUGCAGACCCUAAAGUUGAUUGAUCAGAACCAUAGCUCAGGUUUUGGGGGUUGAGCCAUAGCUUCAAAAAUCUAUCUUUGUUAACUUAUAAAGACAAAAAAACCGAAAACCAAAACCCUAAAACCAAAACAAACAAACAAACAAAAACAAAUGAAAAAACACAAUUAGUUCAUUUAAAGUUAGGGAAAUAUCCAGUGGUCUGUUCUGAUCAGGCCAUUUUAGAUAUAACUGCAUACUGACCUUUAAUUGGAGGGUCCCAUGGAUUGGUUUAUGGACCAUUGUAAGAUUAACAAGCCUCAUACAGAACACAACAGGAUGUGGACACCAUGACUUUGCUCUGAGUCAAGUUGUUUUUCUGUGUUGAUGAUUGGCUGUCUUAUGACAGCAACUAUCUGAAAUAGGGGGCAGACAUAGAACACAAUGGCUCUUGCUAUACUGGGCAGUACAUGCAUUAGCAUUUGAUUAUCUAGGUCUCUCACAAUGACCAGUUCUGUGUUCAUAGUACUUGGAGACCCCACUUGGAAGCCCAAAUAUAUGAACGUGGAAGCAGAAUUGUCUGAGCUCAAGGUUAACCUGGUCCACAUGGGGUAUUUGAGACCAUGUUUCAGAAAACAACACUGAAACACACGCAACAUGCAAGGCCUCACUAGCCAAUUCUUGUCUAUUAUAAAGAACUUACCAUUCUCUCCCUUCCAGUCUUUCUUUCUGGGAAGAUGGAGACGUGAAAAUGAUCUUUCCAUUCUAAGGACCAUGUUCUCUUUUCCCCUCAGCCCACAUUAAGAACAAAUAGAAGUGAGUAUCAUCAUCUGAACAACUGAGUAAUAUCCACUGCUGCUAGCAUGGUACUGUGCCCAUGAUAAUCUUAGCUUCCUUUAGUGUUGCUGCCCCAGCAGGAAGUAUUAAGUGCUGAGGCCAAAGCUCAGAGAACCUUUCAAGGGGCUAGACAGAAGCCAUCAGAGACUCUCCACUUCCUUGUCCUGAGAUGAAAUCCAGGAACACAAUGUGAACUUGGUGGCUAAUUAACCAUAUAUCAUACUUCUACCUCCACCUUUCUAUGUUCAGUACAGGAAAGUGUUCAUGCACCUCCAUGACAGGUUUAUCUUGAUAUAUGUUGCAGGGCGCAGACUUUUUAGAGAGUUGCGUGUAGUCAAGCAGUUGGUGAAUUCAGUAAGAUGUCAAGACUAUCAAUAACAAGUGACCACACUGUAUUUGUUUAAAAAGUUCAUUAGCUGAAAAUUGAGCAUAAGUGAGGAGUGGGACACCUGCACUGUGCCCUGGCAUUUUUGUGCCUAGACAAGGCUCAAAGGAAUGGUGAUAGGACAACUUGGGUUCCUCUGAAUGGACAGAGUAAGGUGAAAUAGGCACUGACCAGGCUGAGCAAUACUUCUGAGGCCCCUUAUUACAGGUAACAAACACAUUCUCUGUCCACCUUCCAAAGAGCUUCUGUUGAGACCAUGGAUCUUGUAAGGUAAGGCUAUAGUAAGGUCACGCAGACUUAUUUCCUAGUGAUACAAAGGUCUCUCUGAUAAGGCUUGCCCCAUACCAUAUCUGUAGCAAAUUUGUUACAAGCCAGCAGUCUAUUUCAUGCUGUUCCUGUAAUAUGCUUCCCAGUCAUGGAUGUAAAACCUUUCAAGGAGCUAGACAGAAGCCAUCAGCGACUCUCCACUUCCUUGUCCUGAGAUGAAAUCCAGGAACACAAUGCUUACUUGGUGGCCAAUUAACCAUGCAUCAUACUUCUACCUCCACCAUUCUGUGUUCAGUACAGGAAAGUGUUCAUGUACCUCCAUGCCAGAUUUAUCUUGAUAUAUGUUCCAGACUGGGACCCUAUAGGUGGAACAACAAUAUUAACUAAUCAGUACCCCCACUCAGAACUUGUGUCUCUAGCUGCAUAUGUAUCAGAAGGUGGCCAGGUCGGCCAUCAUUGGAAAGAGAGGCACGUUGGUCUUGCAAACUUUAUAUGCCUCAGUACAGGGGAACACCAGGGCCAAGAAGUGGGAGUGUGUGGGGAGGAGGGAAGUGGGAAGAAGGGUAUGGGGGACUCUUGGGAUGCUCCAACUCCAUAGCUGUUCAGGACCAUCACCUCAUUACAUUCCUACCCUGUUGAAAAAUAUCUUAAUAAAAACUCCUUCAAAACUCUGCCAAAUUAAAGCACAUCUGAGCAUUAGACUUUGGCAGAGUUUUGAACACUCAAUGCCCAUUGCAAAUUCUUUCUAUCUUAACUCCCUCUGCACAGCCUCCUUCUGACUCUUAAAGGGGUUGGGGUAGGAAGAGACACCUUCCAUUACCUUGCCUCCCCCCGGAGCAGAGUCCUGGCCUAUGUAGCCAGCACAAUGACACCUGCUUUCUGGCCUUUGCUACCUUUUGUCCCUUCCCAAUCCUAAUGUUGUAAGACUUGGUCCAGAUCUCCCAAUCCAGAUCUCUGGCCAACAGGAGAGUAGUUGACCAAUGGCUCUUUCCACUGAGUGGCUCACUAGUCCUGAAAGUAAAAGUGGCUAGCCUUCUCCAUGUCCUGCACACUAAAGAGGUGCACAAGCCACAGCCCAGAACACUGCUCUAAUGCCUCCCAUCUCAUGGUAGACAGGCUGAAUAAUUUGUUUUGUAUUCCUAACUUUGACCUACUGCCUAAAAAAACCUCUUCAUUAUUGACCUCCGUGAGCCACAUGAUUGGGACAAUGACUUGGUUAGUAUUCACAUAUGGGUGAAAAUGUCCGUAGAUUUUCACAAGUCUAUACUUGUAAUGGUUUGUAUAUGCUUGGCCCAGGGAAUGUCACUAUUAGAAGGUGGCGGAGUACGUGUGGCCUUGUUGGAGUAGGUCUGUCAUUAUGAGUUUGGGCUUUAAGACCCUCAUCCUAGCUGCCUGGAAGCCAGUAUUCUGCUAGCAGUAUUAAGAUGAAGUUGUAGAACUCUCAGCUCCUCCUGCACCAUGCCUGCCUGGAUGGCACCAUGCUCCCACCUUAAUCAUAAUGGACUAAUUUGAAUCUGAAAGCCAGCCCCAAUUAAAUAUUGUUCUUAUAAGAGUUGCCUCGGUCAUGGUGUCUCUUCCCAGCAGGUAAAACCCUACCUAAGACAAUAAUUAAUAGAACUAGUUUCUAUUCGAAAUAAAGACAUCCUUUCUAUAUUGACUUGUACAAAAGCCAGAAAGAUCCAUGGACUUUUUGUUGUUGUUGUUAUACCAACAAAUCUCUUUAUUGACAUGUGUUCUAGAAUGUACCCCUCACAUAGCAUCCUCAUAGAUUACAUAAUUUCAUUAACAGUGCUGUGUAUUAAUUUUCUCAUUGCAUUCUCUGUCCUCAUUUCCUUAUAUAUUUCCCUGCACUGUUUAGUUUAAAUGUUUCCCAAUUGUCUUCUUAGUAAAAUAUUGAUGGAAAAAACAUCUUGUAUCACCAAGUAUAAAUACCUCAACCUCUA